UGGAGAGUUUGAUCCUGGCUCAGACGAACGCUGGCGGCGUGCUUAACACAUGCAAGUCGAACGGAAAGGCCCUUCCUUUUUUGGUUGGGUGCUCGAGUGGCGAACGGGUGAGUAUUACGUGAGUAACCUGCCCUCAACUGUGGGAUAAGCCUGGGAAACUGGGUCUAAUACUGCAUAUUCUUCUUUCACCGCAUGGUGGGGGUUGGAAAGUUUUUUCGGUUGGGGAUGGGCUCGCGGCCUAUCAGCUUGUUGGUGGGGUGAUGGCCUACCAAGGCGGUGACGGGUAGCCGGCCUGAGAGGGUGGUCGGCCACAUUGGGACUGAGAUACGGCCCAGACUCCUACGGGAGGCAGCAGUGGGGGAUAUUGCACAAUGGGCGCAAGCCUGAUGCAGCGACGCCGCGUGAGGGAUGAAGGCUUUCGGGUUGUAAACCUCUUUCGGUACAGAACAAGGCACGUUUUUUGCGUGUGGAGGGUAUGUGCAGAAGAAGCGCCGGCUAACUACGUGCCAGCAGCCGCGGUA
rnacentral:rRNA from 1 species